GAUGAACGCUGGCGGCGUGCCUAAUACAUGCAAGUCGAGCGAACAGACGAUGCUCUUGCUCCUCUUACGUUAGCGGCGGACGGGUGAGUAGCACGUGGCUAACCUUCCUCUAAGACUUAACUAUGUUCGAUAAACCGUAGUUCCUACCAGGUAUUCUCUUUCGCCUCAUGGUUUAAUAAUGGAAUUCUCUUUUUCUGUCGCUUCUGGAUGUGUCCGCGACGCUUUAGCUAGGUGGUAAGGUAACGGCUUACCAAGGCGACGAUGCGUAGCCGACAUGAGAGGGUGAACGGCCACACUGGAAAUGAGACACGGUCAAGACGCCAACGGGAGGCAGCAGAAGGGAAUCUGCCGCAAAGGGCGAAAGAAUGACGGAGAAACGACGAGUGAGUGAUGAAGGUAUGCGGAGCGAAAAAAUAUGUUAUUAGGGAAGAAAAAAUGUGUAAGUAACUAUGAAAGUAUUGACGGUACCUAAUCAGAAAGCCACGGCUAACUACGUG
rnacentral:rRNA from 1 species